rnacentral:ribozyme from 1 species
AAGAGUGAAAAUUACAAAGAAAAAACAAAGAACAGAGAGAGCAAAGGGCAAAAGCACAGCUUUGUAAUGUAAUAGCCACACACUGCUUAGGAUUUUUUCUCUUUCUUCUCCUUUAGCAU